rnacentral:rRNA from 1 species
UACGUAGGGUGCAAGCGUUGUCCGGAAUUAUUGGGCGUAAAGAGCUCGUAGGCGGUUUGUCGCGUCGGCUGUGAAAACUCGGGGCUCAACCCCGAGCCUGCAGUCGAUACGGGCAGACUAGAGUGCUGUAGGGGAGACUGGAAUUCCUGGUGUAGCGGUGAAAUGCGCAGAUAUCAGGAGGAACACCGGUGGCGAAGGCGGGUCUCUGGGCAGUAACUGACGCUGGAGGAGCGAAAGCGUGGGGAGCGAACAGG